rnacentral:rRNA from 1 species
AAUGAACGCUGGCGGCGUGCUUAACACAUGCAAGUCGAACGAGGCGUGGGGGGGCAACUCUCCAGUUUAGUGGCGGACGGGUGAGUAACACGUGGGUAACCUGCCCGGAAGUGGGGAAUACCUCGGGGAAACUCGAGCUAAUACCGCAUGACAUCUUCGGGACGAAAGUCCUGACGAUCAAAGCGGGGUCGCAAGAUCUCGCGCUACCGGAUGGGCCCGCGCCCGAUUAGCUAGUUGGUGAGGUAACGGCUCACCAAGGCUUCGAUCGGUAACCGGCCUGAGAGGGCGAUCGGUCACACCGGAACUGACACACGGGCCAGACUCCUACGGGAGGCAGCAGUGGGGAAUUUUGGGCAAUGGGCGAAAGCCUGACCCAGCAACGCCGCGUGAAGGAGGAAAUCCUUCGGGAUGU